AUCCUGCCCUCCCCCCGCCGCCCCGCUCCACGCCCGCCGCCUCACGCUCCGCCCAGGCGGAGGGGGCAGCAGCGCCCUGCCGCGGCGGCACCGCCCGCCCGGCGGCCGCGCCAGGCACCGGCAACGGCACCAGUGGCCGCCUCGCCGCGCCUCACAGGCGCGCUGCCCCGCCGGCCUGAGGCGAACCCCAUCGCCGCCGGGCGGGGAAGGAGGGAGGGCUGAGAGAAUAAAUAAAUGACGGCGCGGGGAGGGCAGGAGGGAGAGGCCGGUGGGAGGAAAGUGAAACGGCGCGGGAGCGGGGCGGCCGGCUGAGCCUCAGCCCGCCUGGGCUGGUGCGGCCGCCGGCUGGGCGGGAGCGCGUUCUGCUCCCCGGAGACGGCAGCGAUGGCGAGGGGGGCACCGAGCAGCCGCCCCGGCGCCCCGGGUGCCGCUCCCCGCGGGGCCCGCCGCCCCGGGCAGCCCGCCAGGUGCUGCUGCUAUGAUGCUCCGUGUGAUCUGUGCCAUUCCCCAAGGACAAUGUGGAGAGAUCCUUGGUUUGGACAGUUCCUGCUGUGGCUCCUCCACCAGCCUUUCUCCCAGCCGCCCACACCAGAAACACGGCUUGUCCGUAACCUGCGGUAGUUCCUAGCAGCUGAUGGGGCCACCAAAGCUCUUUGCAACUGCUAUAAUAUAAUGCAGAUAUUCUUUGAGCUCCUUUAAUCUGCCCACGAGACUGACCCAGCGCUUUUCAGCCUCAGUAUUAGGAAGGGGCGAAACAGGUAAUUGUUGCCAUGUGGUAGGUGUUGCUUGUGGACAAUCUGUCUCCAGGGCAGUCGUUGCCAAAUCUCUUUUUCCUCCAGUAGAGCCUUGGGCAUUCAGCUCUUCUACAUAUGAAAUAUGUAAUAAAGAAUGACUUGAUGAUUGCUUUUGGUUUGCUGUUUGGAAAGUGUAGAAUACCACCUUAACUGGUUGUUUUCACCAUGGAAGAGGCAUUUUUUUGGAGCUGCAGCCUGUUAGAUCCUUCCUACCAACCGCAUUGUUGCUUCAUAAGUACACCUGGCCUGGCUAGGUUCAAGAUCACUCAUAGCCAUGGUUUACCAUGGUUAUUUGACCAUCAAGACAUAGUCUUACUGUAAAAGGGAGCCUCAACAACAGAUUCUCUUGGCUCCAGUGAUUUAGGAUCAGCUAGUUACAUGCUUUAAAGGUCCAGUAGAUGUAUCUGCAUGGUUUAGGAGGAAACUUGGUGUUUGGGGUGGGUAUUUCCUUCCUAAGUCUUUCACAUAUUUCUUUCGAGGAGAAUGUGUGCGUACCCAUUUAUUUCAUGGCUGCUGAGUCCAAAGGUGACCUGCAGGACUUGGGCAGCUCUGUGAGUUGGUGUACAGACUUAAAAGACAGGAAAAUCAGGUGACCAUGAUUGGUUUUAAAAAGAUUUCACUGACAGAGUCUGAAAUAACUCUGGGGCUCGAAACAGCAGGCAUUGUCAGAUACAAGGGAUUAAAAGGCCUUUUAGUGUGGCUUAGUAGUGUCCAGAAGAUUGGCUUACUUGUAUGAGUCCUUCUUUUGUCACAUUGAUCUUUAUUUUGCAUUGUGCUUAGUACAACUGCAACUGGACGCUGAAGUCUCCUUUCCUGAAUCAUCUGACAGGACUUGGCCCGUUCAUUGCUUAGUAAAACCCUUUUUUGUGGAGGAAUUGAUUCUUGCCAGUGUAGCCAGUGUUGAGUAAUAGCCGAAGAAUACCAAGUUGCAAUCAUUUAAUCAACAUGGUAUGUGGCCAGGUUGUUGAGAGGAAGUUACUAUAACAAUGGGUUAUACUACUUUAUAUUACUUUCAUGUAUAGAUAUAUCAGUUUAACUUAAUAGGGAGCUACCUGAUGAAGGAAUAAAAGGCAAUUCAGUGGUUCCCCUGUGUCAGCUCUAUGUGACUAAACCUAAUAAAUGUGAGGUGGUAAUUACAAGACGGUAGCUCCGAUUCCGAUGCAGCUAGUUUGUCAGGCUGAGAACUAAAAAUCAGAGGAUAAAGUUGGUAGAGACUGAUGGAGGAAAUAAUUUAAGAUAGAGGCAGACUUUGCAGAAGAGGCUGGAAGAAGCUGAGCCUUCCUCUCUGCAGCAAUGGACUGGUAAGUCAUACAGAAGGAAAGUCAACUGUGUUGACUGGUUUAUUGUUUUAAGAUCUAUUUGGUCUUAAAUGGUUUGGUGCUAAGUAAGUGUUUUGCGGUUAGUACUUAGAGUGAUUUUCUUCAUGAGAGACUAAACCGGCAGGUCUGGGUCUGCCUCAGAUCUGCAGAGGCACUCAUGGUUGAUCCACUAGGGAUGCAACCUGAGAACUGGUCUGUGUGUAGCAAAAAAAGACAGACAGAGAUCUGGAGGAACCGCUAACUGGUCACUUGCGACAGCAACAUGCAAACACAGUCACAGGUUUUGCUUUUUCAUAUUUGAAAAUGAUUUUGUGUAUAAAUAAUUAGCUUUUUAGAAUAAUAGAUAGGCUUUUGCAGACAGGCUUAACCUUGGUGUUUUGAUGUGUUUUUUUUUCUUUUUUAAACAUGGCAUAGUUAAAAACACAAUGUCAAAGGUAAGAAAAAAAUUAUCACAUGGAUAGCAGUAAUGCAAAUAUGUCAGUUAUAGCUAAAAUACUGGUUAGGUCCUGUUGCUCAACUGAAAGAUAAUACAGCAAAAGAGUUUUUUAUUUUGUUGUCCUUUUAUUCAUGAUUUAUUGUACUGUUGUUUUCACCACUUACCAUAUAUAAUUGAUUGGUCGUCCCCUGCUGUUACCAUGGAUAUUUAAUACACUGACAUAGAAAAGAGGCAUUUUUAUGAAGAGGAAAAUGCAGCUACAAAACUCCUUGGGCAGAAUUGAAGGCUGUGCCAUAUUCUGUGUUGAUACAGCCAAUAGAGCUUUCUGCUUCAUGUUCUUAUCUACCCUCUACACAUAGGGAUACGCAUCCCACGCCUCGUGUCUUAUGAGGCUAGCACCUAGGAGAGUGUUAGGUGCAGCAUAGCCUCCUUGGGCUCACUAUCCCGCCCUGGAGCAGGGAGGAAGGGCCAGGUUUGUAGGUCGGUUGGCUUGAGACUCAGAAGCCCUUCAUGGAAGAGUGAUAAAUGCUGUUGAUAAGGGUGGUCCAACAUAAACAGGAAUCCAAGAUCCUCCCUUCAGACUCUUUGGUCUGGUUUGUUGGUUUGGGUUUUUUUCACUAAGAUCAAAAGAGAACACAGUAUUUUGAACAAGAUGUGCGAGGGCCCACCCUUCCUGAAUUGCACUUUCAGUGGUGUGUUCUGUCCUGCAGGUGCAAUACUCUACAGAAGGGUUUGGGUUCCCCCCUCCUCUUUUAAUAUAUAUCAUGAGAGAAAUUCAAUAGAUGGUUUCAUAGAGGUCUCUGCACUUUUCUCAUUGUGCCUGUGUGUUCUGUGAGGAGAGCUGUUGAUCAUUAUCAGUUUAAGUCUAGCACCUUUAAUUCAUCAGAAGUUCAUGUAAUGUAUUACUUACAUUAGAUGUAGGUGCCAAAACUGACCUGUAAACCUAAAAUAAAAUUGGGACUACAAAAUUAAGUUCACUUAGAUUGUGGAAAUUAGGCUAUAAAUGGAAUUCCUGCGGGAACUGUGUAAACCGUCUUUGACAUUGGUUUAAUGUAAUUCUUUGCUUAAUAGGGUAACUUUAAAUUGUAUAACCAGUACGUAGUUUUAACCAGCACAGAUCUGUAGCAAAUUUUGCAGUCAGAUGAGUGUUAACAGGAACAUUCUGUGGUGUUUCUGAAUUUAAGGAUUACAGCGUAUAGCUUUAUUGCAGCCGACUGGACAGUCAGGCGUCGUACCCCCUUCCCAAACCCCGUCAGACAGGUAAUGUUACAACACUACCAUGUCAUUUGUCAAACUUCUCCAUUCAGUAAAUAAGUUUAUAAUUUAUAAAAUGCACGUGCACAGGGUAACAUAGAUUUAGGGUAAAGGUUUAUUUUGUGGUCAAAACUGAAAUCUCAGAUUCUGAAUUAUUUGUGGUAAAAACUGAAUUCAGAAUCUGAAUUUCAAUGUUAGUACCUGAAUUAGUAUUUCAUGUCCAAAUCACAAUAAUUAAUCCCUAAUUUGGGAGAAUUUUGAAUUAAAGGCUUAAUUUUUCAAAUUGAACCUGGGAAUUCAAGGUCUGGCUAGCUCUGUAAUAAAGAUCUGCAUUCUCUUAAUAGAGGGCAAGUGAGCAUGCUAGUUUUAUGCAUGAAAUUAAUUUGAAUAUUGAAAUUAUUCUGAAUCAUUCAAAUGUUUAUGCUCUAGAUGACAGCAUAUUUUGCUUGCUUUGCUGCUAGUACCAGUACUGGAAAGCGUAUUUUCCUUUCCUUCUUGAGAUUUAGAAAGAAUUUUUUUUUUAAUGUAACAUAUUCAGGUCUGAUUCUUCAAGGUUUUUUCCAGAAUGUAACUGCAUUUAGAGGCCUGAAUUAACACAUGCACUAUCGUUGCAUGAGAGCUCAUGCAUUAGAUUGUCUCUGCGGGGGAACAUUUAGGGUACUUCAGCUAAUUUGACCUAUGAAAACAUUAAUUUUGAAUGUUUUACUGAAGGUAACUCAGAAUAUCCUGACAUUCUGCAAAAUGUAUGACAGUGCUUUCAAACAGGGUAAGAAUACUCUGAGUGCUGGGUCAUCUCAGAACUUGCUUCAAGUUUUCCAGGAUCUGCUACUCAGCAAGUCUUCUGUAUUAUUUAACACAGUAUUGUCCUGGUCCUCUACUAAGCCGGUAGGUGCAAAAGCAGCUCUAAUGCCUCUCAGGCUGUAUGCAGAGCACAGCUGUACACCAGACCUCAAUCAUUUUAGAUACUCAAAGUAAUCACUAAAAGGCUGCCUUUUGCAACACUUCAUUCAUCUGAGCCAGUAUGGAACAUCCUUUUGUAUUAGCAGAGUUCUUAAAAGGAAUUAAUUCUUCCAGACAUGGCACAUGUUGAUAGCAGGUAGUCCUUGCAUGUUCAUUCUCCAAUCUGCAUGCUGAGGGCUGACCUUUUGAUCCUGUUAGUUUAAUCUCUUCGUUGUCUGUCCGUCCUUCGAACAAGGUGCUGCCCUUUCCUUGAUGAAGUCAAGUUCUUUGUUCUUCCCAGGUUUCAUUCCAAGGAAUGUCAAGGGACAAGCUUUGUACUGUAUUUGCAAAGAAAAGUAAAAUGUGAUGAAUGAGAAUCCACUUUAGAAUAGAAAACUGCCUAUAACCCCCCCACCAGCGUGCAUAUAUAAUAUAAUGUAAUAAUAAUAUAAUAUGAUAUAUGAUAUGAUAUAGAUAUAAAAUAAAAAUAGAAAAAAUACAUACACAUUCUUCUCCAAACUCAUCAGAAAUAAUGGUAAGGGAAGUAUAUUUUGCACAAAUAUAGUUCCAAAAAUGCAGGUUAUAUUGGGAAAAAAAAAAAGAGAA